UCCCCUGUGGCUCAGUUGGUAGAGCAUGGUGGUUGCAACGCCAGCAUGGUGUGUGCAAUGCCAGGGUUGUGGGUUCGAUUCCCACGGGGGGCC
rfam:Salmo salar isolate Sally breed double haploid chromosome ssa13, whole genome shotgun sequence.